AGAGUUUGAUCAUGGCUCAGGACGAACGCUGGCGGCGUGCCUAAUACAUGCAAGUCGAGCGGACUUUUGGGAGCUUGCUCCCAAAAGUUAGCGGCGGACGGGUGAGUAACACGUGGGCAACCUGCCUAUAAGACUGGGAUAACUUCGGGAAACCGGAGCUAAUACCGGAUAAUUCCUUCCCUCACAUGAGGGAAGGUUGAAAGGCGGCUUCGGCUGUCACUUAUAGAUGGGCCCGCGGCGCAUUAGCUAGUUGGUGAGGUAACGGCUCACCAAGGCGACGAUGCGUAGCCGACCUGAGAGGGUGAUCGGCCACACUGGGACUGAGACACGGCCCAGACUCCUACGGGAGGCAGCAGUAGGGAAUCUUCCGCAAUGGACGAAAGUCUGACGGAGCAACGCCGCGUGAGUGAUGAAGGUUUUCGGAUCGUAAAACUCUGUUGUUAGGGAAGAACAAGUACGAGAGUAACUGCUCGUACCUUGACGGUACCUAACCAGAAAGCCACGGCUAACUACGUGCCAGCAGCCGCGGUA
rnacentral:rRNA from 1 species